AUGUUAUUCAGAUUCCUCAUACUACUCCUAACUGUUUUAGCACUGGCAACAUGCCGAAAAGUUCACAUUCAAGUUAGAGAAAAUGUCACACAAAGUUGUCCGAAUGUGGAUUCCGAUGUUAUUGACGAGAGCUCGUUGAAGAUCACAAUGAAAAUGUUGAAGAAUGAUAAUCCAGAGGAAGAAGAUGAAGAAAAAGAUGAAGUAACAAUUACUGAUAUUAAUGGAGAAACUCGCCAAAUUGAUUUCCCUGGAUGCUAUAGAGUUAAAGUCAGCUUUAAGAUGCUGAGACCUAUCGAGAAUCCGUAAGUUAGAGCUGAAACUUAAGACUGGAGUUCAUUCGUAAAAUUGAAUCCUGCAAAUCUCUUAAAAUCGUAAUAGAUUCCGUAUUUUUCCCUAUUAAACUUGCACCUCUUUACACCUCUUCGACGGGGGUUUCCCGGGUUUUUUGGUUUCAUGAAAAGUGCGAACUGAACACACUUAUAACAUAGUUUUCUUUACUUUAUUAGUGAAAACAUUUUUUUUCGAUAAACUAAACCGUCAAAGUAAAGCAAUGCCGAUAACAGUCUAAUAGAAAAAAAAAAUGGUACAUUCUUUCUUCUAGAUACAUUGAAGCAUUUAUGCAACUUGGCCAAAACGUUCCCUGCAAAUCAGAAGACGCGAUUCAAAAUCUUCGUGGAGUUGAGAGCAUUUGUGCAAACGUAACUAGUCCAUCUCAAUGGUGUCCAGAGAGUUAUAACUCCCAAUUGAGAGAGAUGCUCGGUGGUAAAACUACAUGUAAAUUCUGCUCUCUGUGCGAAAACGUUAAGGAAAACGUAAAAGAAAAUGAGAGCAAAUUGAACAAGCUUAAAAAAUUUUUGAGCAACGAGGGGAAGGAGGAGUGUUCCACAACUGAUAAUAUUCAUAGAUAUACUUUUAAGAUGUGCACUCCGACUCAAGACGAUAUUAACAAAGAAGAAUCUGACACGAAGGAUAAAAUCGAGGAGUACUGGCAGUACCUCAAACAGGGAAUCAUGACUACAGUAAUCCAUGUAAUGGAUCGUAACCCAAUGAAGUCUGGAAGAGCUGAACAAUGUCAAAAGAUGUGCCAAGUUUAUGGUGACUCCAGUAAAAUGUCCAAUUCAAAUUAUAAAGAGACGCUCACAAGAUCCAUCGAGAAAUUGUGUGCCCCUGUAGAUUCCUACGCAGCAUGCCUGUAUCAUACAGUGAAAUUUGAUGUGAAUUCCAAUUUGUAA